UACGUAGGGGGCUAGCGUUGCUCGGAAUCACUGGGCGUAAAGCGCACGUAGGCGGAUUGUUAAGUCAGGGGUGAAAUCCUGGAGCUCAACUCCAGAACUGCCUUUGAUACUGGCGAUCUUGAGUCCGGGAGAGGUGAGUGGAACUGCGAGUGUAGAGGUGAAAUUCGUAGAUAUUCGCAAGAACACCAGUGGCGAAAGGCGGCUCACUGGCCCGAUACUGACGCUGAGGUGCGAAAGCGUGGGGAGCAAACAGGG
rnacentral:rRNA from 1 species